GUUGAAACACCGAUUCUCGUACGAUCAACGACGUUAAGCAACAUUACGCCUUGUCAGUACCUAGAUGGGUGACCCCAUGGGAAUACCAGGUGCUAU